UAGUUCAGUUUGAAUUAAGAGUUCAUUCUCUUCAAUGUUGGUCAUCUGAGGUUUCUGAGUAUUAGGAAAUUGAAAAAAAUUAGAUUUAGGAUUUCUGCUUUGUGGGGAAAAAGUUUGCCCGGGCCUUAUUCUUGGAUCUUACAAACACACGCUUAGUUUAGAACUACUUAGUUUAGAUCUACUGCAUGUCUCAAGAAGUACUAGUUUAUAAAAUCUUGUCAUAACUUUUCUGGCAGUAGUGUAGGCAUUAUUAGAUCUUACUUCACUGGUAGAAAACAAUAUGUGUCAUUCAAGAAUUUAACAAAGCUCCCAUUGUUAUGGAGUACCUAAACCAUGGACGCACAGACCGCGGCUCGCCGGUCGAAUACUGGUGGCCCGCCGCCAGCAAAAAUAGUACUCUCGUACAUCCAAAAAAUAUUGAAUUCUAUCCCAGAUAAAACCAAAGAAAUUUGUUCGAAAAGUAAUUUGAAUCUCGCGCGCGCGAUAUUUGAAUCUAGCGGCCAAAAUGCUAGGUCAAGGAACAUCGCUUGCCGCCUUUAUAUAAAAUUCAAAAUAGUAGAGAAAUCAAAAAUUUUCUAGCGCGAUGUGAGCAAGCGAGAUAGCACUAGUCCCGAAUUCCCGAUUGCAGCCACCGAUAGUUCGAUUUUAAUUUGAGUGAAGUGACAGCAGAAAGAAAUAAGCGCGAAAAUACAAAGCAAAGUAAUAAGUGAUUGAGAAUAAGUGCAGUUUAAUAGUGUUUUGGGGAGGCAAUAGUUCUAGUGUAGAUGUUAACUCGACUAGCCGGUGUCAUAUAUUUUGAUCCACAAUCAAUGUAGAUUUCCUGUUGCAGUAUUAACCCGUCAAGUGCCGUGUAUAAAUUGUGAAAUCGUGCUGUGUUAAUCCCCCAAAAUUAGAACGCAACAUGGGCAAGCCAGGACCUAUAGUUGACGCGCCGAAUAGAUGCACCAAGGAAAACGCGUGGUUGGCCCGUGAUCAGCGGAGUGUUCGAUGCGCAAUCCAUUUUAUUGUAUUAGACGAGUAGAUUUCGAGCGGGUUUUUACGUCUUUAUAAUUAUACGAUAAAUGUAUUUUUACCGAUUAGUAUUAUUUUUAUUUUUUAUUAUUAGAAAUUUAUUAUUAUGAAUAUUUAUGUCACUGGAAGGGCCUAUUUUAAAAAUUUCUUAUGAAACAC